rnacentral:rRNA from 1 species
AGAGUUUGAUCCUGGCUCAGAGUGAACGCUGGCGGCGUGCUUAACACAUGCAAGUCGAACGAGAACGGCUUAUUGAACCUUCGGGGGAUAUAAGUGUCAGCUAAGUGGCGCACGGGUGAGUAAUAUAUAGGUAACGUGCCUCUAAGAGGGGGAUAACAGUUGGAAACGACUGCUAAUACCCCAUAUGCCCUUGUAACAUAAGUUACUAGGGGAAAUGGUUUAUUCCGCUUAGAGAUCGGCCUGUACAGUAUCAGCUUGUUGGUAGGGUAACGGCUUACCAAGGCUAUGACGCUUAACUGGUUUGAGAGGAUGAUCAGUCACACUGGAACUGAGACACGGUCCAGACUCCUACGGGAGGCAGCAGUGGGGAAUAUUGCACAAUGGAGGAAACUCUGAUGCAGCAACGCCGCGUGGAGGAUGACACUUUUCGGAGCGUAAACUCCUUUUAUAUGAGAAGAUAAUGACGGUAUCAUAUGAAUAAGCACCGGCUAACUCCGUGCCAGCAGCCGCGGUAAUACGG